ACAGGUGAAGGAUCUAAAACCUGAAAAGAGGCCAAAUGAUUCCUCAAAACCACGCAAGUACGAAGUAGCAGAGCGGAUCUCAAAUCCAGAAUACUACUAAAGUCAUGCCGUGUGACUUCUGAAGCUAGCUCCUAAGAAGUCCUUGCAGCUUCUGCCUGCGACUCUUAGAACACUUGCUUUGAAGGAUGCCAGAUGCUGUCUUAAAAGUCUGAGCACUCUGAAACCAUCAUGCUGUGAGGAAGCCCAAGCUAACCACAUGGGCAAAAAAGAUGCCCUCUGACUGCCACCAUUUGAGACACUCUAAUUAAGAACUGCCUCAUUGAGCCCAUGAGGCCCUGUGAAUGAUAAUAAUAAAUUGUUUUUAACCACUAUGUUUUUGGAUUUGUUAUAAGUUUAUAGAUAACAAGAAAAAGUUAUAUUAGCAU
rnacentral:lncRNA from 10 species